UGGGGAAUUUGGACAAUGGGCGAAAGCCUGAUCCAGCAAUGCCGCGUGUGUGAAGAAGGCCUUCGGGUUGUAAAGCACUUUUGUCCGGAAAGAAAUCCUUGGCUCUAAUACAGUCGGGGGAUGACGGUACCGGAAGAAUAAGCACCGGCUAACUACGUGCCAGCAGCCGCGGUAAUACGUAGGGUGCAAGCGUUAAUCGGAAUUACUGGGCGUAAAGCGUGCGCAGGCGGUUUGCUAAGACCGAUGUGAAAUCCCCGGGCUCAACCUGGGAACUGCAUUGGUGACUGGCAGGCUAGAGUAUGGCAGAGGGGGGUAGAAUUCCACGUGUAGCAGUGAAAUGCGUAGAGAUGUGGAGGAAUACCGAUGGCGAAGGCAGCCCCCUGGGCCAAUACUGACGCUCAUGCACGAAAGCGUGGGGAGCAAACAGGAUUAGAUACCCUGGUAGUCCACGCCCUAAACGAUGUCAACUAGUUGUUGGGGAUUCAUUUCCUUAGUAACGUAGCUAACGCGUGAAGUUGACCGCCUGGGGAGUACGGUCGCAAGAUUAAAACUUAAAGGAAUUGACGGGGUCAUAGCUG
rnacentral:rRNA from 1 species